rnacentral:rRNA from 1 species
UACGUAGGGGGCAAGCGUUGUCCGGAAUCAUUGGGCGUAAAGCGCGUGUAGGCGGCCCGGUAAGUCCGCUGUGAAAGUCGGGGGCUCAACCCUCGAAUGCCGGUGGAUACUGUCGGGCUAGGGUGCGGGAGAGGCGAGUGGAAUUCCUGGUGUAGCGGUGAAAUGCGCAGAUAUCAGGAGGAACACCAAUUGCGAAGGCAGCUCGCUGGAACGUAACUGACGCUGAGACGCGAAAGCGUGGGGAGCAAACAGG